GAAUUGAUAAGGAAAAGUCGCUAAAUGCCAUCAAAACCCUCGGUGUCAAAACUCCCCAAUGGUUGCCUGAAAAGUAGCUGAAUUUGUCUCUAGAAUCCUUCACAAAUACAAUUCGCUGGAGAGGUCUGAAAAUAUAGCAGCUAAAUUGACAACACUGGAACUGACUUAAUCGAAUCCACUCGACUAUUGCUGCGCGAGAUACGUAAUCAAUGUAUUUGGGAACCAGGCGUGGCAUUGCCAUGAAAGUGUUGUUCAAAAUGUUGGUACAUAAAAGAAAGAGUCGUCUUUUGUAACUCGUUGUAGAACUUAGGUCAUUUUACGAUUCUCUGAUGGAAAAGAUGCAAUGAGGAUGAGAGGCCCGUAACGUUAACUUCGGGAAAGCAGUGCUAGUACCGUAGUUCUUGCUGUAAAAUUGACUAAUAGAAGUAUAAAGGGGAGGAAUUGCACAUGCAGGAACGCCCUGAAUUGCGCGCCGCAAUCACACCCUUCCUAACAAUUCCAUGAGGAGCGUUUGAAAAAGAAACACUUUAAUUGAACAAUUGAACAGUUGCUAAUUCUACAGGAUUAGCAUUGAAAGCGUGACUAGCGGUGGGGAAAUCAGUACCAGGGACUGCAAAGGGUGAGGGACAACACCAAUAACAUGGGUCACCCCUGCCACAACACCACCAUCAGACUCUGCCAACCCAUGGCCCACCAACACUCAGACCAAACAGGAAAUUCUGGAACUGCGCAGAUAAAACCAGAGGAUUCUGAUCUGGAGAGAGAGGUCUCUGGAGCAGGAGGUGAAGGAGAAGUACCAGUCUAGUGUGUUCCAGCACAGCCUGCAGGACAGAACAGCUGCGCUGGACCUGGAGAGGGUGGCUUGGGAGGCGUGAGAGGGGUCUGGUGAGUGAGUAUAAGGGUGCUCGGACCACAGCCCUGCAGAUUUCUGUGGCCUUGGAGGAGUAGCAGCAGCAGAGACCCUCAGGGAAGAACAACACUCUGAAAGCCAAAGACAAGCUACAGACCGGAGACUCCGUGGUCCUCAGCUCAGAGGACGAUGUAGAGGAGGACGGGGUGGGGCAGUCCAGAGCCAAAAGAGAACUCCCAAAAGUGACCUUCUGCAAAAAGGCCUCACAGCAAGGAGGAGCAUGACAGGAAAAUCAAAUGAAUGGAUAGCCUCGCUCAAAACCGCGUGCUGCCUUCCACUGAAGAAGACUAAAUAACAGGCUGAGUUAUGACCCUAAGUGCUCUGAACUGUAGUACUGGAGAAAGGAGAUUGACCUCUGCUGAUGGUUUUGUAGUCUUGCUAUUGGUUGUGUUUAUAAAGACAUGAAUCAGCAUCUUCUUGGACAAAGCUGUGUAUUGUUUUGUGUGACGACAUAAUGUAAUAUUUUUUACUUUAAUUGUGUCUUUUGAAGUGCUGUUUUGAAAGCACUUAGAACUUAAGAAGCAUUUCAUGAAAAUGAAGUGUGUGUGUGUGCUCUAUUAGGAAUGGAGAGGUCAUGACAAUAAAGAACUCAUUCAAGAGAAUCAGGAGCAGAUUGUGAAAUGUUCAGAUGGCUCUUAAAGUGACCUCAAAAUCCACAGCCAAUCAGCAGCUGCCAUCGGCUGGUCAUUACUGUAAAUGGAAGUCCGGUCUAACUGGUAGAGAUGUUCAAUUUAGUGUUAUGAAAGUAGCUAUGUCCCUUUCUAAGUUCAAUUCUAUAUCCAUUAUGAAGCUGCAGUAGCUGGCUAAAGUAAUGACCAACCAGAAAAACAACCUGAAAUGCAGAAGAUAAAAAUACACAGGUUUAUGUAGGCAUUUGUGAUUAUGAAUAGAAAUUGAAUUAAUUUAUUUUGUUUAACCCUAGUUCCUGCUUGUGUCCCUAGCCAUCAUCUUUUCUUGUUUUCCUUUUACAGAACACCAUUACAGUGUCAUGACAUUUAUUCAGCACUAAUUGGGGCUGAGGCUCGAUCAAGCAUAUCUGUCUGAGGCACAAUACAAACUCUGUUGUUGAAGUGCUAACCAAGCUAUCUACACCUACUUACUGAUGGUAAAAACUGAUGUGCUAGAUGCAUGGUUAUUUUGGCUAGAUGCAAGGUUAUUUUGGCCAGCGUAAAGGCAGUGUGAGUUUGUGUGUGCAGGAAAUGCAGGGUGAUUAAUUUUUUCCCCCAGAAGGCUGUUAAGCAGCAACAAGACUGAUUUAAUGUAUUUUCUGCCCAACAGUGUCCUCAUCAGACUCCAGCAGCUCUAAAGCAUUGUUUGGUUUGGUGCAGAGAGGAGCCCUGACAUAACGUGUAUCCUAUGCAGUUAGGGGUUCCAUUUUUCAUUCCAGUGUCCUCCCUCUCUCAGGUUAUUGUUAUCACAGUGUAUGUUUAACUAUGGCUCACUGACACUGUAAUUACUUUAAUUUAUGUAUUGGUGUUGUCAUGUAUAUGUACACAGAUUGACAUGAAUAGUUUUCUCUGCAUGUUAGUACUAUAAUGAGGAACGUUUCUGUUAUCAAUGUAGGACUGUCUAUUCGGAUUAGGCCUAUAUCUCUAGAGGACUACCAAUCCAUCUAAUUGAGUGGACAACUUUAGAUGAUGGCAAAUACUAUGUACGUACUGAUCUAUAGUAUAAUAACAAAUGUAAUCCCACUGGUGGCUUGCCUCUGAAGCUAAGCAGAGUUGGUCCUGGACGGUCCCUGGAUGGGAGACCAGUGGUGUUAGAGGUCCAGUAGGAGUCACUUUUUCCCCUGGUAUUUUUUCUUUAUCCCAAUGCCCCAGGGCAGUGAUUGGGAACAUUGCCCUGUAUAGGGUGUCGUCUUUCAGAUGGGAUGUUAAACGGGUGUGCUGACACUCCGUGUUCACUAAAGAUCCCAUGGCACUUAUUGUUAGAGUAGAGGUGUUAACUCUGGUGUCCUGGCUAAAUUCCUGAUCUGGCCCUCAAACCAUCAUGGCCACCUAAUCAAAUUAUUUGUCACGUGCCAAAUACAGGUGUAGACCUUUACAGUGAAAUGCUUACUUACCAGCCUUAACCAACAAUGCAGUUUAAAAGAAUAAGAAAUAAAAGUAGCAAAUAAUUAAAGCAGAAGUAAAAUAACAAUAGCGAGGCUAUAUACAGGGGGUACAGGUACAGAGUCAUGCUGGGGCAUCGGUUAGUCGAGGUAAUAUGUACAUGUAGGUAGAGAAGAGUAGCAGCAGUGUAAAGGUGCAAAGCAAAAGUUUGGGUAGCCAUUUUAUUAGAUGUUCAGGAGUCUUAUGGCUUGUCCCCAGCUUCCAAUUGGCUCAUUCAUCCCCCCUCCGCUCCCCCGUAACUAUUCCCCAUGUUGUUGCUGUAAAUGAGAAUGAGUUCUCAGUCAACUUACUGGUAAAAUAAGGGUUAAAUAACAGUUCAAAAGAAACACAAGUACUCUGGAUUCAACUCUUCGAUUUCAUUCCCAUUUCCACCUGCAGCAACAUUUUCAAACGGCAGAGGGCAUUGCUGUCCAGUAACGAUGGCUGACAUGGCAGAUGAUGUCAUGUGAGUCUUUCAGUGGGCUUUAUUUGUUAUUACACUAAGACACUGACACAUGCACAGUAACAAACAAAGUAACAGAACCGCUAUUACUA